UCCAGCUUAUCGCUGGCGGUCUCCUGCGAGUGCCGCCUUUCGGCAUGGUAACACAGGACAAGGGUUGCGCUCGUUGCGGGACUUAACCCAACAUCUCACGACACGAGCUGACGACAGCCAUGCAGCACCUCGACUCUAGUCCCUUGCGGGAAAUCCCUGUUUCCAAGGACGUUCACGAGCCGUUCGAGCCCAGGUAAGGUGGGGAUGACGUCGUAUCUCACUG
rnacentral:misc_RNA from 1 species